rnacentral:rRNA from 1 species
GACGAACGCUGGCGGCGCGCUUAACACAUGCAAGUCGAGCGAAGCGGCGGUCGGGUGAGUAACACGUGAGUAACCUGCCUUAGACCUUGGGAUAGCCUCGGGAAACCGGGAUUAAUACCAAAUGGUCUAAGAUUGACUCGCGUCCCAUUAGCUAGUUGGUGGGUAACGGCCCACCAAGGCGACGAUGGGUAGCCGGGCUGAGAGGGUAAACGGACACAUUGGAACUGGGAAACGGUCCAAAGUCUACGGGGGGCAGCAGAGGGGGAUAUUGCAGAAUGGGUGAAAGCCUGAUGCAGCGUGGCUGCGUGGGGGAUGAGGGCUUUGGGGUUGUAAACCUGUUCGUUCGAUGGUCGGGUAGGUGGAGAAGAAGCGCCGGCUAACUACGUGCCAGCCGCCGCGGUAAUUC